UCCCUGGUAGCUCAGUUGGGAAAGAAUCUGCCUGCAAAGCAGGAGACCUGGGUUGGAUCCCUGGAUAGGGAA
rnacentral:tRNA from 1 species